ensembl:snRNA U6 U6 spliceosomal RNA
GUGCUCGCUUCAGCAGCACAUAUACCAAAAUUGGAACAAUACAGAGAAGAUUAGCAUGACCCCUGCGCAAGGAUGAACACAACCAACCCAGGUUCAAUCCCCUGGCAU